AUGGAUCGAGUGAGGUCUGCAUUCAACAGCAUGAUAAAAAGUGAGCGGUACAGCAGGUUCACUCUGCAGCCGGCAGAGGACGGAGAAAGACAUGUUGAGGUCAAACUGUCGGAUGGCGCCACAGAGGCCGAGGAGCAGGCCGGGGGAUCUCCGAGCUUCAGGCCAGCACCCCCACAUCAGAAACGGAGUACUAUUUGCUACAUGGCCCUGGGGAUUCUGCUGAUAUUUGUCACCGGCUACAUGCUUGGUUACCUCUGUCACCGUGAAACUCAGGUGGAGUCGGUGAACUGUGGCACCGAGCCGGAAGGAACGACCGCUACGCCACCUGUUGUUACGCCACCUGUUGUUGUACCAGCUCCAGACGUUCCUCUGAACCAACUCCUCGCACAGAAACUCACCAGCCGCGCAUUUGACGAAACUCUGAGGGCCUUUGACCUGUCCAGUCGCUCAGCAGGAAGUGAGGAAGACCGGAGUCAGGCAAACCGCAUCUUUGACCAAUUCAAGAAAGCAGAGAUGGAGCCCUGGACUGACAUCCACUACGUUCAGCUGCAGACACCAGACAGCAAGCGUCCAAACCGUGUCCGUUUUGGUUCAGAUGUCUUCGAGCCUACAGGGUAUUUGGCUUACAGUGCUCCUGGGGAUGUUGAGGGCAAGCUGGUGUAUGGCAACUAUGGUCGUCAGGAGGAUCUGGAUGUUCUGCAGAAGAAGAACAUUGAGCUGAAAGACAGUGUGUUGCUGCUCCGAGCUGGAAAGAUCAGCUUUGCAGAGCAGGUUGAUAAUGCUGCCACAAAGGGGGCCUCUGCUGUUCUAAUCUACCCUGACGCUCAAGAUUACACAUAUGUAGCGGACACGGCACUCUACGGACAUGUGCAUUUGGGUUCAGGCGACCCCUACACCCCUGGGUUCCCCUCCUUCAACCACACCCAGUUUCCCCCAACGCAGUCCUCCGGCCUCCCUAAAAUCCCAGCCCAGACUAUUACCGCCAACAUGGCUUCAGCUCUCCUAAAGAAAAUUGGCGGCCCUGAACCAGAUGCAAGCAGCGGUUUUAAAGGCGGCCUCCCGUCAGUGGCUUACAGCCUGGGAGGCAGCAAGAACAUCACUGUUGAGGUGAACAACGUGCAGGUCAACACAGAGAUCCACAAUGUGUUUGGAGUCAUAAAAGGAUUCACUGAUCCUGAUCGCUACGUUGUGCUGGGAGCUCAGAGAGACGCCUGGGGUGAAGGUUUUGCCAAAGCCGCUGUUGGCACCUCAAUACUGAUAGAGCUGGCCAAGGCUGUUCACGAGAUGGUGGAGAACGAUGGGUUCAGACCCAGGAGAAGCCUGGUGUUUGCGAGCUGGAGCGCCGGAGAGUACGGAAGUGUUGGCGCCACCGAGUGGUUGGAGGGUUAUAUGUCUUCUAUUGACAAACGUGUUUUCACCUACAUAAGCCUAGAUGGAGUGGUCAUGGGUCGUGGGAGCUUUAUGGCCUCAGCAAGCCCGCUGCUCCACAGCCUCCUCGAGACCACGAUGAGAGAGGUGAAGAGCCCUCUUGGUUCUGGCACUGUGUACGAUAUGGUGGGAACAAGUAACUGGGAGGCCAAAACACUGAGGCCAAUGUCAAUGGACGACCCCGCCUAUCCGUUCCUGGCCUUUUCUGGAAUUCCCUCCAUCUCUUUCCACUUCAUCUCUCCCAAUACUGAGGCCUACAGUUACUAUGGCACCAACCUGGACAACAUGGAUCACCUCAAUUACGCAACCGGCCAUCACACCAGUGAAAUGGUGGCAGUGGCGGCACAGUUCGCCGGCCAGAUGGCCCUGCGACUGGUCCACGACCACCUGCUCAGCCUGGAUGUUGGCCGAUACAGCAGCGUCCUCACCAAGGCUGUGGUCCGAGUCUACAAACGCGUCAACCAGCUCUCACAGUCUGGCCAGCUGAAGGGGGUGAACCCCAACUGGCUGAAUCGUGCACGCGGCUCCUUCCAACGAGCUGCUGCGAGCAUCAAGACUGACAUCCAAAACACUGACUUAAAUGACCAGGAGGCCUGUCGGAUCCUCAACGACAGGAUCAUGAGUGUUGAGCACAGCCUUCUCUCUCCAUACGUGUCCCCCACUGAGACUCCCUUCCGUCACCUCCUGCUGGGUCGGGGCUCCCACACUUUGGCAUCCAUCGCCGAGACCGCCGACAUGGAGCAGCUCCACAUCCAGCUGGCCCUGGCCACCUGGAACCUGCAGGGGUGUGCCAACGCCAUGGAGGGAAACCUCUGGGACAUCGAUGAGGAAAUCUAAAGGAAGACGGGGGAGUUGUAAGCGUGGGUAUCGUGUGUGUUGUUUAAAAUGAAGUUUGAGGUAGGGCAGAGGGAGAAGCUCCAAUAUCGGCACUUAAGCACAAGCUGUCAAUCACAGGUCUAAGCCCCACCCUUUACAAAACAGGCUUGUACUUCCACAAAGAUCCAGGAGGAGAUGGAAAUAGAAACAUAUUCUUAACUGUGAACCAACAUCAAAUACUUGAAGAAAUAUUAAUACUACUGACAGAUCUGCCUCCUCUCCUCCUGGCUCUACAUGGAACCAGUCAAAGCCUGUGCUCUGUCCUCUCGCCUUCGAAACAAUGAGAAACCUUAUUUAUACUUUUUUUAUUUAUCAGUGGCAGUGCCCACUAUAAAGUUAUUGUUUGUCUUUUUAUACGACGUUAUCGGAAGCAGUGCCUUCCAUAAUUAUGACGGUUAUACUGUCUAAUCCUCCGGCAGCAUCUGCUACAGAAAUGACUCCUCAACUGUUGCUGACAAAAUGGAGCCCGUGAGAAAGUUAGAUUUUUUUUUAUUUUAAUUUUUUUUUAUGGCCUUCAUUUCUUCCAUUUUAUGUGAAGCGAUUUCUAAAGGGACAUCAUCAAAUCAUGAGAAAGUGGCGUGCAUUAGCGGUGCUUCACUCGGUCAUCAAAAUGGUUAUUAAUUAAAAUGCAUUAAAAGGGAGAAAUGAAGGGCAGAAAAAAGUUGUUCCAGUCUGUCAUAAACAAGUCUAGGAGCAGAGAAAAAACUAACUCUCUGGAUAUUGGGAAAUUCUUAUUUAUAUAGCAACAAGCCCAGAAAGUUAAGACUGGAUUUAUUCCCUGCUUGGUGACAGAAUAAAAAAAUAAAUAAAUAAUGCACAAAAAUGAUCAAAUCACCCUUUUUAGCGCGACAGCUAAACUGAUUGGUUCCAUAAUUUGCAAGAAAGCCAUUUAUGUUGCACAGUUCGAACUUAUGGAGCAGUUUAUAAUAUAAAGUUAUCGGGAGCAGUGUCUUCCAUAACUAAAACCCAUUAUCGGAAGCAGUGUCUUCCAUAAUGACAAGCAGUGAUGGUAGUUUUUGCCUACCAGUGUGUGUGUGUGUGUGUGUGUGUGUGUGUGUGUGAGUGAUUUGCGUUUGUGUGUUUUUACAUGUGUAUUUAUCGGGAGCAGUGUCUCUCAUAUUUCACUGAAGGGUGGAACGACUUAUCGGGAACAGUGUUUCCCAGAGUUUUAUACAUAUUUGUUUUGUCUUCUUUUAUUUUAUUAUCUGUGUGCACUUCUCCAUUUUUGCUCACUUUUGUGUACCAGGCUAUGAUUUUCCUGCAGCAUUUUAUUUUAUUUUUUUUCGAUUUACCGAUUUUUCCAUCUAAUCAAGCAACUCCAUACAAACACACACGGAAGAAUAUUAAAAUGAAUUCUAUUCAGUUAGAAACAAACUUCUCUGUAGAUUCUGUAGGCAUUCUUACCUCCAAUCCUCUUUGUUUUCUCUGUGUUAGUGACUUUAAAGACACAAUAGAUGUUGCACCUACAUAUAAAUUCAAUUCACAAGCUAUAACUCUCUUUGCAUGCGUUUCAAUGACCUAUUUCCUCUUCAAUGCAUGGUACUGUAUUGCUUUUGAUAAGGUGUAGCUCAACAGACUUGGACCAUAUUACGAACUUUUCAAAUAAGUUAGGUUUAGAUACUAAACUAUAUUUUUGUUUAAUCAUUUUUCUUCUUAUACAAGUAAAAUCAGUGGUUUUCCUAGAAUAUUGGCAGGCCUUAGCAUUAGGAGGAACAUAAAACGGCAGUAAAAAUAUGAGACCAUAGAUAAAUAUUCAACAAAGGUAACUGUAAUUGCAACUUAUUGAACCUGUAUACAAUUGUAAGUACAGAAAGGUAAACUUGUUUAAAGAACAUUAUUAGUCAGUUAGCCCUAUUUAACCAGUGUAACUACAUUUAAAAUCCACUUUGUUUUAACAUACCCUCAAGAGCAAACAGAACGUUACCAUUUCAUAAUUUAGGUUAUUACGUGUUUGGAUACUUUUGUUUGUUUUCUGGUGUCACUUCUGUUGAGCUUGCUAUUGUUAUGGCCUGUUUUGACUUUCCUAGAUUUGUUAACAAGAGUUUAAAAUAAGGUUACUUUAUCCCGAGGGGGGCAAGUUGGGUGGUUGGGAAAUGGCUUUUCCGCCCACUGUGUGUACUGCAGUGUUUCAAAACCUGUUCAUGAAAUCAUGUUUUUGUGAUCUCAAUGUUUAGCAGAAAAGUGUAAUAAACCCUUUUGGCUUAGCAUCCAGUAAA